rnacentral:rRNA from 1 species
AGAGCGUACGGGGGAUGCCUAGGCUCUCAGAGGCGAAGAAGGACGUGACAAGCUGCGAAAAGCUGCGGGGAAUGGCAAAUACGUGUUAAUCCGCAGAUGUCCGAAUGGGGAAACCCGGCAGGUUGAAGACCUGUCAUCCGAUUAAUCGGAAGCAAACCCGGGGAACUGAAACAUCUAAGUACCCGGAGGAAGAGAAAAUAACAAUGAUUCCGCAAGUAGUGGCGAGCGAACGCGGAAGAGCCCAAACCAGAUUUGUUACGGCAAAUCUGGGGUUGUAGGACCUCCAUAACAUUAUUUUACCGAUAUCAGAACCCAGUUGGAAAACUGGACCAAAGAAGGUGAUAGUCCUGUAGGUUAAAUUGGUAAAUUAAUAAGGAGGUAUCCUGAGUAGCGCGGGACCGGAGAAAUCCUGUGUGAAUCUGCCAGCACCAUCUGGUAAGGCUAAAUACUCCUGAGAGACCGAUAGUGAACCAGUACCGUGAGGGAAAGGUGAAAAGUACUUCGAAUAGAAGGGUGAAAUAGAUCCUGAAACCGUGCGCUUACAAGCGGUUGGAGCCUUUAGGGGUGACAGCGUGCCUUUUGCAUAAUGAGCCUACGAGUUACUCCUCUCUGGCAAGGUUAAUUGUAAAGAUACAAGUAUCCGCAGCGAAAGCGAGUCUGAAUAGGGCGCAAGAGUCAGAGGGGGUAGACGCGAAACUUGGUGAUCUACCCAUGACCAGGUUGAAGCUGUGGUAACACACAGUGGAGGACCGAACCAGUUGACGUUGAAAAGUCUUUGGAUGAGUUGUGGGUAGGGGUGAAAGGCCAAUCAAACUGAGAGAUAGCUCGUACUCCCCGAAAUGCCUUUAGGGGCAGCCUUAUUUCAAGUGUAUCAGAGGUAGAGCUACUGAUAGGACUAGGGGGCUUCACCGCCUACCAACUCCUGAUAAACUCCGAAUGCUGAUACAUGAUGAAUAGGAGUGAGGGCGUGGGUGCUAAGGUCCACGUCCGAGAGGGAAAGAACCCAGACUAUCAGCUAAGGUCCCCAAGUGUAUACUAAGUUGACCAAACGGGGUCUGAUUGCAGAGACAGCUAGGAUGUUGGCUUGGAAGCAGCCAUUCAUUUAAAGAGUGCGUAACAGCUCACUAGUCGAGCGAUCGGGCAUGGAUAAUAAUCGGGCAUAAGUAUACCACCGAAGCUAUAGAUUGUCGUAAGACAGUGGUAGGGGAGCAUUCCAGCAUUGUAGAAGCCACAUGGUAAUGUGUGGUGGAGAUUCUGGAAAAGCAAAUGUAGGCAUAAGUAACGAUAAUGCAGGCGAGAAACCUGCACACCGGAAGACUAAGGUUUCCUGAUCAACGCUAAUCGGAUCAGGGUUAGUCGGGACCUAAGGCGGACCCGAAGGGGGAAGUCGAUGGACAAUCGGUUAAUAUUCCGAUACUAUCUUAUAUUGCGAUGGAGAGACGGAGUAGUGAAAGGUCCGCGAGGAGACGGAAUACCUCGUUAAAGGGAGUAGACGUUGAUUUUGGCAGGCAAAUCCGCCAGAAGAGUUGAACCUGAAAGUACCGUGAGUCUACGGACAAGCGGAUAGUGACCCUAAUCAGACUUCCAAGAAAAUCUUCUAAGCCCUAGAUAUAAGAUACCCGUACCGUAAACCGACACAGGUAGUCGAGGAGAGAAUCCACAGGUGCUCGAGUGAUUCAUGGCUAAGGAACUAGGCAAAAUGGACCUGUAACUUCGGGAGAAAGGUCGCCUCAAGCAAUUGAGGCCGCAGUGAAAAGAUCCAGGCGACUGUUUAACAAAAACAUAUGGCUAUGCAAAAUGGAAACAUGAAGUAUAUGGCCUGACACCUGCCCGGUGCCGGAAGGUUAAGAGGAGUUGUUAUCUUCGGAGAAGCAAUGAAUUGAAGCCCCGGUAAACGGCGGCCGUAACUAUAACGGUCCUAAGGUAGCGAAAUUCCUUGUCGGGUAAGUUCCGACCUGCACGAAUGGUGUAACGAUCUGGGCACUGUCUCAGCCAUGAGCUCGGUGAAAUUGUAGUACCGGUGAAGAUGCCGGUUACCCGCAACGGGACGGAAAGACCCCGUGAACCUUCACUACAGCUUAACAUUGGCAUUGGGUAAGUAAUGUGUAGGAUAGCUGGGAGACUAUGAAGCUGCGUCGCCAGGCGUGGUGGAGUCACUGUUGAAAUACCAGCCUUUGCUUAUCUGGUGCCUAACACAGAAAUGUGGACCGUGUUUGGCGGGUAGUUUGACUGGGGUGGUCGCCUCCAAAAGCGUAACGGAGGCUUUCAAAGGUACCCUCAGGACGUAUGGUAAUCGUCCAAAGAGUGCAAUGGCAAAAGGGUGCUUGACUGAGAGACAAACAAGUCGACCAGGUACGAAAGUAGGACAUAGUGAUCCGGCGGUUCCGUAUGGAAGGGCCGUCGCUCAAAGGAUAAAAGGUACUCCGGGGAUAACAGGCUGAUCACUCCCAAGAGCUCACAUCGACGGAGUGGUUUGGCACCUCGAUGUCGGCUCGUCACAUCCUGGGGCUGGAGAAGGUCCCAAGGGUUGGGCUGUUCGCCCAUUAAAGUGGCACGCGAGCUGGGUUCAGAACGUCGCGAGACAGUUCGGUCCCUAUCUGUUGUGGGCGUAAGAAGCUUGAGAGGCGCUGACCCUAGUACGAGAGGACCGGGUUGGACAUACCUCUGGUGGACCUGUUGUGGCGCCAGCUGCACCGCAGGGUAGCUACGUAUGGACGAGAUAAGUGCUGAAAGCAUCUAAGCACGAAACUUACCUCAAGAUGAGGCUUCAUUUAAGGGUCGUUGGAGACUACGACGUUGAUAGGUUGCAGGUGUAAAGGCAGUAAUGUCAAAGCCGAGCAAUACUAAUUGCCCGAUAACUUUCAAUU